CGCCACGAUGACUUGCAAGCAACUCACUGUACUUAGGCACUGGACUACCUGAAUUUCUAAUUCAAUGACGGAAGGCUGCUGGGUGUAGUCAAGUACUUGACUUGUCAGUGCGUGUGUCAAGAUGGGAUUGACCACUCCAGUUCAGGAGCUGUGCACAGUCAUGUUUCAAUUUAGUAAAACCUUAGCCAGGGUAGUCCUACUGAGG
rnacentral:lncRNA from 1 species